rnacentral:lncRNA from 1 species
UUUUUUGGUGGGGUUCGUGUUGUUUAUUCUUUAGUUUUCUAUGUUGUGUCGUGUGUGCUGUUUUUUGUUUGUCUUUUUCAUUUUUAGCCAUGGCGUUGUCAGUUUGUUUGAGAUUUAUGAGUUUGACUGUCCCUUUGGUAUCUUUCGCCCCUCUUUUAGCCAUGGCGUUGUCAGUUUAUUUUCUUAUAUAAGUUUGACUGUCCCUCUAUUAUCUUUCGUCCCUCUUUUAAACUGAUUGAAAAAUAUUGUCGUCAUCAUAUGGAAAUCAAGGUGUACAAUAUUGCAAAAAUGUUUUAGACUGAUACUCCAGAUGCAUGUUCUUAGUAUUAAUACAUUCGAAAAACUAAUCUACUUUUAUAAAAUACGUGUUUUUCACAAACAAAUUU